ACACCGCUCCUCCACAUCUCCGGCGAUCUUCAUAUCCGGUGAUCUUCUUCUCCGGUGAUCUUCAUCUCGAAACCCUAACCUUUUUCCCUCAAAUUUCCAGAUCUUAUUUCUCCAAAAAGCACACCUGCAAACACCACCUCUCUCUCUCACCAUAAUUGCCUUCUUCUCCUCCAAAAAGCACACCUGCAAACAAGGAGGUAAUUAUGCGACAUAACAACAACGUUGGGGGGAGGAUUGCAAUUAUUUUGUUAGAGGGGGUCAGAGUGCCAAUUGACCUAAACCUCAGGAGAUCAAGUGGUGGAAGACUUAUAUAUCUUUUGAGAGAUGCAGGUUCAACUCCCACAUUUUGAUCUUUGAGUCAAACGGGUUUUACUAGUAAUUUCACCUUCGUGCCUAUAGGCGGGUGGGUUACCAGGUUUUCUCCGGAAUUGGUGGUGGACUCGGAUUACCCUCGGAGUACUCUGUUUGGUCCAGUGGAUGUCCUAAAAGUGCUCAGGAUUGAUUAUGUUGGCCGUUAAAAAAAAAGUAAUGUAUU